rnacentral:lncRNA from 1 species
GGUUGUUUCUUUUAGGGUUUAUUUGUCGGACUUGCCUUUUCUCUACCAGGCAUAAGGUUCGGCUUUUACCAGAGUCGGUUUGGAUUCCAAGUAGGUCCUUACUGGUAUCCUGUUAAUUGUCAUGGCAAUGGUUUGUCCUCAUUUUGUAUACAUUUUUCACUUUAUCAGUUUUAAGGUUAAGCGAUUUAGGUGUGUAGAUGUG